rnacentral:rRNA from 1 species
CACGUAGGGGGCAAGCGUUGUUCGGAAUUACUGGGCGUAAAGCGCACGUAGGCGGAUUUGUUAGUCAGGGGUGAAAUCCCGGGGCUCAACCUCGGAACUGCCUUUGAUACUGCAAGUCUCGAGUCCGAUAGAGGUGGGUGGAAUUCCUAGUGUAGAGGUGAAAUUCGUAGAUAUUAGGAAGAACACCGGUGGCGAAGGCGGCCCACUGGAUCGGUACUGACGCUGAGGUGCGAAAGCGUGGGGAGCAAACAGG